rnacentral:rRNA from 1 species
AUUGAACGCUGGCGGCAUGCUUUACACAUGCAAGUCGAACGGGCUGGGGGCAACUCCAGUCAGUGGCGAACGGGUGAGUAAUGCAUCGGAACGUGCCUCGUAGUGGGGGAUAACUCGGCGAAAGCCGUGCUAAUACCGCAUAUGCUCUACGGAGGAAAGUGGGGGACCGCAAGGCCUCACGCUAUGAGAGCGGCCGAUGUCCGAUUAGCUUGUUGGUGGGUAAGGCCUACCAAGGCGAAGACGCUUAGCUGGUCUGAGAGGAUGAUCAGUCACACUGAAACUGAGACACGGUUCAGACUCCUACGGGAGGCAGCAGUGGGGAAUAUUGGACAAUGGGCGCAAGCCUGAUCCAGCCACGCCGCGUGAGUGAUGAAGGCCU